CGCGUAGACUUACUGGCCUUGAACUGUAAUGAGACCGUGUGCAGAUAUGUGCCUUUUCGCAAGAACUGUUACAGAGGUGCUGCAUGGCUGUCGUCAGCUCGCGUCGUGAGAUGAUGGGUUAAUUCCCGCAACGAGCGCAACCCUUACCUUUUUUGCCACCGGGUCAUGCCGGGAACUCUAAUGGACUGCCCGGGUUAACCGGGGGAAGGCGGGGAUGAUGUCCAGUCCUCAUGGCCCUUAUGUCCCGGGCUACCCACGUGCUACAAUGGGCGAUACAAACCGUUGCCAGAUCCCGAGAUGGAACUAAUCCUAGAAAGUCCUCCUCAAUUCGGAUUGGAAUCCGCAACUCCACUGCAUGAAGGUGGAAUCCCUAGUAAUCCUGUAACAAAAUGAUACGGUGAAUACCUUCCCGGGCC
rnacentral:rRNA from 1 species